GGGUGGAGAGUUCUCUAGAUGGCCAUUAGGUCUGCUUGGUCCAGAUCUGAGUUCAAGUCCUGGAUAUCCUUAAUUUUCUGUCUCAUUGAUCUAAUAUUGACAGUGGAGUGUUAAAAGUCUCCCACAGUUAUUGUGCCAGAGUCUAAGUCUCUUUGUAAGAACUUGCUUUAUGUGUCUGUGUGCUCCUGUAUUGGGUACAUAUUUAGGAUAGUUAACUCUUACUGUUGCAUUGAUCCUCUUAUCAUUAUGUAAUGCCCUUCUUUGUCUCUUGAUCUUUGUUGGUUUAAAGUCUGUUUUAUCGUAGACUAGGAUUGCAACCCUGCUUUUAUUUGCUCUCCAAUUGCUUGGUAAGUGUUCCUCCGUCCCUUUAUUUUGAGCCUUUGUGUGUCUUUGCACGUGAGAUGGGUUUUCUUUUCAUCUUAUUGUAUACUUUCUAAGAUAAGCACAGCUAGCACCUCUAAAUCUGCAGCAGAAAUGCUGGCUCCAGGGUUAUUUACAUUACCAAAAGCAUUUUUAGGGAACUUUUUAUAAGGAAAGAGAGUUGUGUUAAGCUUCUUGUCACUCAGGUUUGGCAGUACAGCAGGAUGGUUCACUUUCUUUUCUGUGCCGUGUGUGAUGCUUCUGGAGUUUCCAAAGGCCUAUGGAAAAGUCAAGUAGGCGAGGCCCACUUUUUAUGGCAACGUGGCAUCCAUAGAAAAUGUUAGAACUGAGAAAGUUGCAAUACUCCAAAUAAUAUAGAACGACUGCCAGGUUACGCCAUAAAGUGAGUUCAGUUAGUCACGCUGGCCUCGUGUUUCUCUGUAGUAUUUGUUUACAAUAGACAGGCGUAGCAUUUUUUUUUUCCAGUUAGGCUUUUUUAGAACCUCAUUGCCUUAAUAAUACUUUAAAGUUUGGCUUUAGUUUCUCAAUUCUAAAACAUGUUGAUGAUACUACGGGUAGUCUAGACUGAUUACCUUUUAUUCUGACAGGUCACGUGGACCAGCUUCAGCCACGUGAGCCCUGUGUAAAGAGGGGGACAGAUGAAGGCUGGACUGAAGUGCCCCCCGGCCCCUUUCUGGAGCACCCACUGUCCCCGGCUCAUCUCCUCCAACAGUGCAGGCCUCCUCCAGCUCGUGGGCACAGGCUUUACCAGUUUGGCAGCUCUCUCCCCAUCCUUCCCUGCUAAAUUUGCCACCAGGCUCUUAAGAAACACAGGGUAUGAUGAGACCCCACAGCACUGACAGAAGGCAAGGGCAUCUUCAAACAAGGGAGGUGGGAGGAACAGGGAGGCCCACCCCGGUGUCCACGCCCACUCAUUCUCCACAGAGCUCAAAAUAAAGUUGUGGGUCGUCAUGCUGAACCUACUAAUGGGUCACAAACUCCUUUACGAGGUAAUAAAAACCCCACGUGAGGCCCAUUCUCCAGGGUAAUGCGUAUGUAGAGAAAAUGCACCUCCAGGAUCACGGGGAUGGCAGAACCCCAAAAAUCGACCAUGGACCCAAAGACGCUAAAAAAUAGUUCAACUGCUGUUCAUCUUUAGAGGAGAGGGCUCUCAGGCCACCACAGUGCGCACAAACACCCCACAGAGCAGACAGAAGAUGAUGGGGCCUUCAGUGCCUCCUACGCUACAGCCAUGCUGAAAUCUUGAGGUUCCACAGGAGUAAAAUAAUUAAACAAAGAAACAGCUAUUAGAAAACGGAAGAAAUGCUGACAUGAGAUUUUAACUUCUGAGGACCUCCCAGAGAUGAUGGCAAAACUAAAACCAAGAGGAAGAAAAGCAGACUUUUCCAUACUCAUCAAUGUCAAUCCAGUGCCAGCAGCCGGCCAGACGCCGUCUGCUCCGCGUCUUUCCCUAAGCUGCUAAUGCAGCAUCAGACUCCAUCCAGAAGCCAACAGAGGGCCAGCUGCUGCCGUGACAACGCUCAGGAACUGUCUGAGCUAAGAGACUGUCCCAGUGAAUUCCGUCCUGCCUGCUCCAAACGUGUGGUUCUGUAAUUAUUUAAUGUCCAUCCAAGGACUCCCUGACAUUCAUUUUGUAGGUAAAGAAAUUGUGAGUUUAUCUUAUUUCCAGAAAGGACAGCUGGACAGAAAAGAAACCAGCUGUAAUGGGUCCUUGCCACUAUCUAAAUCAGUGCCACAUGCUGUCUCUCCUUUAGGAAAGCCUGGGUCUCACCUGGCCAACCUGAGGCCAGUGACCAGACAGCCAUCCUCAGGCUUGGACAUCCACAGAGGCUGUGGUUUGGAUGUUGUCUGUUCCUGCCAGAAUUCAUGGUGAGACUUAAUUGCCAAUGUAGCAGAGUGUUGGAAGGUGGUCAGUCUGAGAAGUGACGGAUUUCUUACAAGACUGGGUUCAUUCUCCCACUGCUGGAUUAGUUCUUGCCGGAAUGGGUGAGUUCCUGUGAGAGCAGCUUGUUGGAAACAAGGUUGCCUUUCACAUUUGUUGGCUUUGCAUACCCCCACCUCCCUUUCUGCCUUCCCAGCAGCUGAAGCAGCAUGAGGCCCUGACAGAUGAGCUGUCUGAUCUUGGACUUCCCAGCCUCCAGAGUCAUGAGUCAAAUAAACUCCUUUUCUUUGUAAAUUACUCAGUCUCAGGCACGGCUACAGCAACACAAGACGGACUAAGACAGCAGAUGAGACGGGGUACACCUGCUGUACGCCCAGCUUGCUAGUCAGGAGGGAAGGCAGGAGAGGCCUCAGGAAACGCCACCCAUGAAGGGAAUAUUCCUACAUUAAAUAUUUAAAAUUCAUAGCGAGAGAUUACAUUUAAAUGGAUGCUUCCUAACAUCUCUGGCUUUUAAAAAUUCACAAUUAUUUGGGGAAUAUGUCUUUAGAGCGGGGCCACCCUGGACACUGGCUUCUUGCUAGCCUGAACACAGGUGGGUUCUCCAUGUUGUGCCCCUCACACUCGCAGUGGGGAGGGCAGCAUGGGAGGGGACGCUCACCUGGGGCCCCACCAAGCCUGUGGGUGGCCGGGACAAUUAGGGCCUGAGGCUGCCUCAGUCCCUCUUUGAAACCAUUUAGGGGUCUGCUUAGGAGUGCGAGGAUAUGGGGCAAUGGAGGCGGUCGGCUCCCAGAUGCGUCAGGCCUGACCUGGAACUCCCCUGACAUGUGAGCCAACGCACUCUUUUACUGGCUCACAGGCAGGUGUGAGGCGGAUGGUCCACAGGCUCAGUCCCCAGAGGCCCAGACAGCAGUCUGUCCCUGUUCUUCCCAAAUACAACUCUGCCUUUGCAAAGCUACCGGUGACCUGAAGACAAGAGACUGCUUUGAGAAACAACACAGGAAAGGUCUCCCCAGGCAGCUCUGGAGACGCAGUGCAGUUCCUAUGCACAAGCCAGUACGCUUCGCCAGGGCGUGUGGCAAACCAAUCCGAAAAUGGCAGAGCAAAGAGCCCUGGGGAGGAACAUGCUGAUGAAGAGGAGCCAGGCUGGGAACACGCCGAGGUGGGAAUCCAGUCUUGCCAGAAACAAUGAACAAGACGACAUGCUGUGAUUCAGAGACAGACCCCUGGACCAGCUGGUGCGGCAGGAAGCCGGGAGACAGGGCAGUGUGCCCACGAAAAGCGGGCAGGCGGCAGGGGAGGAGGAGCCCUUUAGCCCCUAGAGGAGGGACAACAGGGUCCCCACUGAGAAAGACGCACGCUUCCUCCGCAUCUCACAGCACACACAAAGGCCAACUCCAGAAGGAUUAUAAACUUCCAUGCAGAAGGCAGAGCUCAAAAUCUGAUCCCAAGGCAGGGAAAACAGUUUUAAAAAGAUACUACAAGUUCUGUGUAAACAUGGUAGAUUAAAAAAUAAAGAUACUGAAAGUGCUAAUCAUUUAAAAAAAAAAGGCUACAUUCAAAUUAAGAGCACUUUAUCAAAAAUCACCACUGUCAGUAAAAGGAUAAGGCACAAAUGGGAGAAGAAUUUGCAAUGUGAGCAGCACAUAAAGCCUCUACACAGAGUGAGCUGUAGAAAAACAGGCACCAGAACCCAAGAGGGCGUUUCACAGAAAAAGAACGCAAUGAGUGAACAGAGACGCCCACCUCGCUAGUCACGAGGGGAGGCAGGAGAGGGCCAGUGAGAUUCCAUUUCCCAGUCCAGGAGGUCGGACACUGAGCUGCUCUGAUGUACAGGACAGGGACAGCCAGAUGGCACCACAAGAAGUCAAGGAAGCAAGGUGUCCACCGUGCCACACCCUAAGGGGGUGGGCUCCCGGGGGGCCCCUUGCGCUGUCCGCCAUGGGGUACAUGUAGCUGCGCAGAUGUAAAUCAGUUGCAAUUCAGUAACAUUUAGCACUCAGUUCCUCAGUCACACGGAGCCGCACUCCACUGCUCGGUGGCCUCAGGCACGCAGAGAGCCCUCCUAGGCAGCCAUGCUUUAGACCUCACUGGCACGCCUAAUGUGUUCAUUUAGAUGUUGAAAACAUCACAUAAUAAAAUCGUUUUAUUACGUUCACACAGAACAACAUUCUUGAGACAAUGAACUACAGUACAUUUCUGUUUUUCAAUUGUAGGGAACAAAUUCAAACUAAAGUCUCAAUGGUCAUGAAGAAGAAUGAUGCUUUACCACACUGCUGCCGCCACACCCCCACUAAAGAACCCACCAAAGGAAGCCCCCCGGUGGCCAGUGGGGUGGGCCAGGCCGGAUGGGCACUCACCAGGCUCUGCUCGAUGAGCAGGCAGAAGAGGACGGCGUUCCCCACCUCCCGCAGGUUCUGGAAGCACACCGUCUUCAGCUCUGCAUACUCCACGAUGUCCUUCAGCUGGUGGUGGAAGAACUCCAGGAUACCUAUGGUGGUGGAAGUAAGGCGGGGUUGGGGGGCGGCGGGACCAGGACCUAGCAGCCUGGUCCACAGCUGGGCGCACCUGCUGUUCUGGCCCUGCCGUCAAGCCCGGUUCUAAGGGCGGCCACAACGUGGCAUGCGCAGCAUCUUCCCUGCAGCAGUGGUUCAUUUGGCACUUGGGCAUGUCCUCCACACACCUUGCAGCCCUGGGCCUCGGCCCUGAGGCCUCUUUUCCAGUCAACCCCCUAUCUUUAGAGAAGGCUAUGAUGAUACGAAACGUCACCACAUCACAAGAAGAAAGACUGCACCAUCAUCCCCAGUGGGGGCAGACAAGGUAUUUGACAAAAUUCAGUCCCUCUUCUCAGGCAUGGAAGGGGCUGGACCUAAUCUGAGAAAGGGCAUCUAGGAAGCCUGCAGCUAACUAACAGCACGCCCAGUGGGAGGCUGCACCCUGUGCCGGCUCCGGAGCAAGGCAGGCGUCUCGGCUGCGUCCCGGGCAGUGGAAUGAGGCACAAAAAGACGUAAGGCGCAAAUGCAGGACAGAAGGCCAACAUCCCCCAGCCGAUCUACAGCUUCAACUCCAGCCCAGUCAGAAACCGGUGCUGACUCUACAAUGCACAUGGCAUCAGGAGGGGUGAAGCUACCCUGGGAAAAGCCAAGUGGGAGGCUCAGCAGACCUGGACCCUGGUCCCAGCAGGUCUCCCCCGAGUGCCUGUUCCCCAGGGACCAGGCCUGACCCGGCCCCUCCUGCCCUGCAGACACCGUCCCCACCCCCACUCCUCCCAGCUCUCGGCACCUCUUGGCGGGGGCGGGGAUGCUUUGGCACCUGUCAUCCCCAGCAAGCUUUCCCUGUGCCACACUGGGCCAGGACGGCUUCCCCUCAACAUCUGAAAUUUUCACCUCCAGUCAUGACACAAGCAUUGGUUUGAGCAUCCCAGCUCCUCAUCUACUUUCUUAAAAUCAACUAGAAUUGGAUUCUCCUGAGCCAGGGUCAUGCUGAUGGUCACUUCCCCAGGGUGCUGAGAGGUUCCCCAUGCGCCGAUGGUCACUUCCUCAAAGGGACUGAGGGGUUCCCCACGUGCUCAUGGUCACUUCCCCACGGGGGCUGAGGGAGACACCUUAUCUUCUCCUCAAACACCAGCCAUAGCCCUGGGCAGGUGCCAGAAAGCAAAACGUCCUGGGCAGUGUUCAAGGACUCAGCCAGGCUGAUGGACUGCCCAUCAAGACAGUGUCUCGUUGGUCACCCACAUGCACACUCAAGUCACUUUACAAGACAAGGCUAGUGUUCAACUGUCCAGCUUUCAAGAAAACUCUGCCAGAUAAGAGACUAAAAGCAGUUUGUUAUGUGACAAAGGUCCCUGCCAUACAAUUUUACCGUAAGACAAUGCUUUUUGAGAUCACUAAAGCUGUUUAUCUGCAUAGCCCCAAACCAGCCCACCAGCCCACAAGUCAUGCGGGCCUGUCCCUAAGAACACACCUGCCUGAGGGCCACACAGCAGGACCUGCAACUGGACGGGACUGCCUGGGGGCAGGCAUGUGGCUGUCUCUGAGGCUCAAGCCCCCAUAGGCCCUGCAGGGAAGCAGGACCCGGCAGUUGGUUCCCUGGCCUCAGCUGGUGGCCACUUCUUUCACAGGCCACAGGAGUGUGUGGUGUUCAGGGCCCUAUUGUCUCAACUCCUGUGGGUGAAUCUCUUGGGCCCCUCAGCUCUCCACCUGCAGACAGUGACCCAGUAUACCUCCUUUCUGGUCGUAAGGUGCAUUUGUCUGUCUACUGCCUGCUCCCGCGCGGCAAUUCUAAUCCUUUUCAAUCAUUCUGAGUUGAAUUCCUUUCUGACCUCUCCCCGGACAGCACUGUGAGCUCCGCAUGCCCAGAGGCGCCUGCACUCACCAGGAGAGCCAUACUCGUGCCGGGGCAGGCGGCAGAUCUUGGGCAUCACCUCCAUCAGCGUCUUCACGUACUGCAGGAUGGUGCCCUGCAGCUGCGGGGGAGACAAGACAGGCUGCGUCAGCCUCCCCACCCCACUCUGCUAGCACCGGAGCUCACGCCCCGAAAUGUCUGUCAGCAAAGAGCUUGGCAGUGAGCAGGCUGCAGGGUCGCGUGGCUGGGGAAUGAAAUCUGCCCCGAAGAGAGCAACCAUCACCAGGUGGCUUCCCAUGGCUGGAUCCAUGUUCUGAAACAGGGCUCUCCUUUGAAGAUGAAGUGGCCCUGAGGUGCCACCAGGUGUCCCCCCCCCGGGGAUGCCCCCGAACGAGUGAGCACGGCCAGUUGCAGGCUCCCCCAGGAAGUCAUCUGUGCUCCUGGGUGCAGCUCCAUGCUCAGCUGUGGUGAGGUCUAAGCUGCCACAGGCUUUGGGUCAGAGUCCCCAGUGGGGGGUCCUGGAAGAAGCUGUUUAGGUCAUGGGGUGAUGGCUGUGCCAAAUGACCAAACUCACACGGUCUCAGGCACAGAAGAUUAUUAACAUAAUAAAAAAAGAUGGGCUGGGCGCGUUGGCUCAUGCCUGUAAUCCUAGCACUUUAGGAGGCCGAAGCGGGUGGAUCACCUGAGGUUGGGAGUUCAAGACCAGCCUAAUAUGGACAAACCCUAAAAUAAAUGUCUCUACUAAAAAUAAAACAUUAGCCAGGUGUGGUGGCGCAUGCCUGUUAUCCCAGCUGCGCGGGAGGCUGAGGCAGGAGAAUCGCUUGAACCCAGGAGGUGGAGGUUGCAGUGAGCCAAGAUUGAGCCACUGCACUCCAGCCUAGGCAACAAGAGCAAAACUCCAUCUCAAUAAAUAAAUAAAGACUAUAAAAAGUUCUCUCUCAGUGAAUGACCAAUAUGUUAUGUACAGAAAACUAAAUUCAGGCUGGCCAAGAUGGCCCACAUAGCAAGACCGCAUCUCUAUGCAUACAAGUAAAGGCUCUAUGGAUCAGUUAAAACAGCCUGGACCCAUUCUCUUGACACAAAGAUGAGGCAGAUAUCAAACUAUAUAUGGUUACAGGUGUUUGAAACCAAACUGAAUUAAUCCAGCUGUUGGAGAAUCACAGUCCAGACGGGGGAGACCCCUUUGCUUGCAUGCCCUGGGAAUCCCGGCUGUGAAGGAUGGGUGUCUAGGGACACUCACCAGGCUCUUGACGACCUUCAGCAGCUCCUCCAUGACCACAGCAAUACCCUGGUAGCCAAGGAGCCGGCAGAUGACUUGAAAAUGCGGAGGCCCCACAAAGUGCCGGUAGCUGCCGUAAAUGCUGGAGUAGGCCAGGUUCAAAGCCUGGAAGACAGGGCACAGAGCUCUCAGCAUGGUCGCUGCACACACGUGCUGAUGAGGAAUCGUGGGAAGAUCAGUCACCACAGUGGCUCAGGUGAAGUCUCCUGCCUUGUAAAAUCGACUGCCCUUAACUGACACAGUUACAAAACCCACUCAGCCUGCCACCGAAAAGGAACCUGCUAAAAAAAGAAAACAAAACCAU